UCUGGUGCCGAUGCGCUUAGGGGAAACACCCGUACCCAUCCCGAACACGAUGGUUAAGACCUAAGCGGCCGAUGGUACUAUGCUGGAGACGGCAUGGGAGAGCAGGUGGGUGCCAGGU
rnacentral:rRNA from 1 species